UUUCUGACCCCAACAAUAGAACUGACAACCCUACCCACUGGUGGAAAAGAUAUGUGGUCACAUGACACAUAGGGGUGUAUUAAGUAUGCUUUUUGGCGGGGUGGAUGAUUAAACUUGUCUCUGUGUGGAUGUGUGAAGAUAAGACCUGAAGUUGCUGAUCAUACUUUCCUCUGGGACAUUCAGGAGGUCAUUAAUCCACAAUGUCUGAAGAAGACAUCGAGGCAGUGAUGCAGGAGGUGGGUAAGUAAUGGCUUUAAAGCAUUUACUGUUUUCAAAAAAUCGUCACUUCCAAGCUUCCACCGGUAGAUGUAGCUGACCUGAUUAUGUCUAUUCAGAGGUAGAAACCUUUCAAGAGGAAGGUAAGGACUUGUGCACGGCUUUCUGUGUGUGUGUGUGUGUGUGUGCGCUGUUCUUACAGUGUGUGCUGUCAGCGAUGAAAGCCACAGUGUGACAGCUGGAUGUGUUUUCUGUCAGAAUAUUAACGCACUUCAUUUGUCAAUGCUGAGAGGUCGACUCAUGUACUAUAAAUGUCACUUUUGAGGCAAAGCAAGGCUCAAUCCCAUUUUUAGCAGUUGUACAUCUGUGCGGUUUAAUGUCCUGAUGAACAUUGCAUGAAGGUUUUCUAAAGUGGCUGUCAAGUUAAGUUUGACUUCACAUCGGUUUUUUUGCACCUAUGACGUUCAGUAGAUGGCGAUGCAUGUGAUAGAUGACGGUAGCUCAGUGGUAGAGUGAGUUGUCUUUCAAGGUUGUGGGUUCAAUUCCCAGCUCCGCAAGACACUUAACACCACGUUGCUCCCGACGGCAGUAUGGGUAUGAUGUGAUGUGCUGUGUGAAAGUAUGGUUGAAUGGCAAAAAAUGUAGUGUAGACUGCACCAAGCUUUGAGUGGUCAUCAAGAAAAGUGCUAUAUAAAUACAGACCAUACAAAAAGAUAAGAACUAUCAGAAUAAGACCACAAAGGAGAUAAACAAAUAUAAAACAAGCAGGGUUGUGCUACAGAUUCAAUUCAGUUUUAUAUGUAUAGCGCCAAAUCACAACAUACAUUAUCUCAAGGCUCUGUGCAGAGACAAUAUUAUAGAGAGCAGCGAAUGAACAAGCGCUAUAGGCAUCAGUGGAGGGAAAAAAACUCCCUUUUAACAGUCGAUGACUCAAAGAAGAUGUGCAGCCAUCUGCCUAGUCAGGUUGGGGUGAAAGGAAAAAGGGGGACAGAGACAAGAGGGAGGAGGUGAGGUCGAGAUAGAAGAGAGAGACCAGGAGCAGACAUACAACAAUUGUAUCAAGUUAUAUAUCUUGCCUUUGCAGCAAGUAGAUCCAGGUUCUCAAUCCGGUCGAAACAAGGGCCUUCCGACAUGGACUUUGCUAUGUUCACCCCGUGUGUACGGGAUUCCUCUGGGUUCUCUGGUUUCCUCCCACUGGUUUCCCAAAUCACCAUAUUCUAUGUUAUGUCUCAUCUGUUUUAUAGUGUAAAGAUGACAUAUUGUGUCCUCAUGUUAAUCCCAGGUCAUUUCAGAUACAUCUGGUGGCUAUUUCCAUUUCCAAUGUCAUGAGCAGUCUCCUCGCAUGUUUCUAUUAUCAUAAAAAGGUCUAAAUGGAGCGUCGUGGCAGCCAUUUUGACAGGUCACAGUGUGACACAGCACAGGUGCAAAUGAUCGAGUUAACGACGGCUGAGUUCCAUUUAGCUUGCACGUCGGCUCUUUGUCACUCGCAAUAGAGACAUGGUUUAAUAUGAUCUGCAAAUGUCCACAAAUAGCUGGUAUUUUCUCUCUUAACUUUGACCGAAAGAAUGUGUUGUUCAGAUGUGGCAACAUCAACAGUCCCAUAUUUCACCAAAACAAUGUAAUACUAGGAAUACAAAUUCUAGCAGACUGUAUUUUUUUGUCUCUUUUCCUGCCUCAUAAUCAUACGCCGCUCACUGGGUUGUAAACCAGACGACUGUUUUACUGCAGAACGAGUAGUUUUGAUGUUGUUUUCAAUACUGCCAUGAUCUAUUGAUACUUUUUUUCAUUUGCACUGACUGACACCAACUUAACGAGACAGACAAAAAAAACACAAAAAACAAAAAAUUACAUGUUUUCCCCCCCAUUGUUCUUGUUGCAUGUUGGGAUACGAAAACGUUACAAACGGCUCACAGGCUCAGUUUGUCAUCAGAAAUCACUCGCUGCUCGAGCUUUGUGCAGAAUGAAUGUCAGACAGCAACAGUGGGGUUUCAGUGAAUCCUGAGAGACUGAAAUCGCAGUGUUCGGAGUUUGACCGAAUCCCAGCCUCAAGCUGUUUGCCAGAAUCUCACUGAUCCACUAAUCCAUAUUUUUCUCGCUCAGUCAUGGCGACGCUGGGAAAAGGGGAUGGUUUGUAUGAAUUGUUUGUGUCCGUAAAUAAUGCCUUUGUGUGUUCCACAUUGGCGGGGUGUGUCGUCUUUUGUCAUGUUUCGGGCCAACAAUGACAGGUUUUGGUUUAAUAAGUCUGUCUUUUGUUCUUGUUCUACAGAAGAAAUGACACCUAAAGUAGAAGAACCUCCUGAAGGUAAGGACCUUUUUUGUUGUCCUGUUCCAUUAGAAAAUUAGAAAAUAAUAACCAGGCACUGUACAGAUACAGUAAUAGUGAUGAUAAUAAUAAUACACUUUAUUAGUAUGGCACCUUUCAUACAAGGAUUGCAGGUCAAAGUGUUUCAAAAUGGAAGGAAAAUACAAUUUAAAACACAAAUACAACAAUGAAACACAACACAGGGUGGAAUGAAAAGGAAAAGUCAAAAGUAAAAAAGCCUGUUUUAACUACAUAAAACACACAAGAUGCAAAUAAAACUGUAAAAUACAGGGUGGAAUAAAAUGGGAAAAGGAUAGAGUCAAGAUGUUAAAACCUUGUUUCAACUUAGAAAUACACUAAAAAUAGGAGGAAAUUAGCUAGUUGAAGGCUAAGUAAAAAGAUAAGUAUUAAGUCGUCUUUUAAAAAUAUUUAGUGAGCUGGCUUCCCUGAUAUCUAAGGGUAGUAGCAAUGUAGCUUGGUCCUAGCCCAUGUAGUGCUUUGUAUACAAGGAGGAGGACCUAAAUGUUACAGGGAGUCAGUGUAGGGAAUAUUUUUGAUUUAUAAAUGCUCACACUUUCACCUUAUUAAUGUGGGAC